rnacentral:rRNA from 1 species
AUUGAACGCUGGCGGCAUGCCUUACACAUGCAAGUCGAACGGUAACGCGGGGCAACCUGGCGACGAGUGGCGAACGGGUGAGUAAUGCAUCGGAACGUGCCCAGUUGUGGGGGAUAACUGCUCGAAAGAGCAGCUAAUACCGCAUACGACCUGAGGGUGAAAGCGGGGGAUCGCAAGACCUCGCGCAAUUGGAGCGGCCGAUGUCGGAUUAGCUAGUUGGUGGGGUAAAGGCCCACCAAGGCGACGAUCCGUAGCUGGUCUGAGAGGACGACCAGCCACACUGGGACUGAGACACGGCCCAGACUCCUACGGGAGGCAGCAGUGGGGAAUUUUGGACAAUGGACGCAAGUCUGAUCCAGCCAUGCCGCGUGCGGGAAGAAGGCCUUCGGGUUGUAAACUGCUUUUGUCAGGGAAGAAAUCCUCUGGGCUAAUAUCCUGGGGGGAUGACGGUACCUGAAGAAUAAGCACCGGCUAACUUCGUGCCAGCAGCCGCAGUAAAAC